rnacentral:rRNA from 1 species
CGGUAAUUCCAGCUCCAAUAGCGUAUACUAAAGUUGUUGCAGUUAAAAAGCUCGUAGUUGGAUUUCUGCGCGGGUGGGGCGUCCGCCGGCCUCAGGUCGGGUUGGGCAGCAACGCCCAUGCACCCUGCUGCGAUCCGCGCUACCAUUCGUUUGGUGGCGUCGGGGACCAGCUCGAUUACUUUGAGAAAAUUUGAGUGUUCAGAGCAGGCAAUUGCCUUGAAAAUUCUAGCAUGGACUAAUGGAUAAGGACUUUGGUUCUAUUUCGUUGGCUUUCGGAACCGAAGUAAUGAUUGAUAGGGACGGUUGGGGGCGUCUGUAUUCUGAAGCGAGAGGUGAAAUUCUUAGACCUUCGGAAGACAAACAGCUGCGAAAGCGUUCGCCAAGGACGUUCCCUUUGAUCAAGAACGAAAGUUGGGGGAUCGAAGACGAUCAGAUACCGUCGUAGUCCCAACUAUAAACUAUACCAGCUAGGGAUCGGCCAACGUUGAUCUACAAAGACUUGGUCGGCACCUUAUGAGAAAUCAAUAGCAUUUGGGUUCCGGGGGGAGUAUGGUCGCAAGGCUGAAACUUAAAGGAAUUGACGGAAGGGCACCACCAGGCGUGGAGCCUGUGGCUUAAUUUGACUCAACACGGGGAAACUUACCAGGUCCAGACAUAGGAAGGAUUGACAGAUUGACAGCUCUUUCUUGAUUCUAUGGGUGGUGGUGCAUGGCCGUUCUUAGUUGGUGGAGUGAUUUGUCUGGUUAAUUCCGUUAACGAACGAGACCCCAGCCUGCUAAAUAGCGCGCGUGGCUCCUGGCCGCGGCGAGCUUCUUAGAGGGACUACGGUUCGCCAUAGACCGGGGAAGUUUGGGGCAAUAACAGGUCUGUGAUGCCCUUAGAUGUUCUGGGCCGCACACGGGCUACACUGACGCGUGCAACGAGCAUAUCAGCUGGCCCGAGAGGGCAUGGGCUAAUCUUUUGAACUCGCGUCGUGCUAGGGAUUGACCAUUGCAAUUGUUGGUCAUGCAACGAGGAAUGCCUUGUAAACGCGAGUCAUCAACUCGCAUUGAAUACGUCCCUGCCCCUUGUACACACCGCCC